AUGCAAAGCGAACGCGGCGAACUGAAACAUCUAAGUAGCUGCAGGAAAAGAAAUCAACCGAGAUUCCCAAAGUAGUGGCGAGCGAAAUGGGAUGAGCCUGUACGUGAUAGUCGAUUGAAUAGUGGAAGCUUCUGGAAAUAAGCGCCAUAGCGGGUGAUAGCCCCGUACACGAAAUUCAAACGGUGGUACUAAGCGUACGACAAGUAGGGCGGGACACGAGAAAUCCUGUCUGAACAUGGGGGGACCAUCCUCCAAGGCUAAAUACUCGUAAUCGACCGAUAGUGAACCAGUACCGUGAGGGAAAGGCGAAAAGAACCCCGGGAGGGGAGUGAAAUAGAUCCUGAAACCGUGUGCAUACAAACAGUCGGAGCCUCUUCGUGGGGUGACGGCGUACCUUUUGUAUAAUGGGUCAGCGACUUACAUUCAGUGGCGAGGUUAACCGAAUAGGGGAGCCGUAGAGAAAUCGAGUCCGAACAGGGCGACAGUCGCUGGGUGUAGACCCGAAACCAAGUGAUCUACCCAUGGCCAGGAUGAAGGUGCGGUAACACGCCCUGGAGGUCCGAACCCACUAAUGUUGAAAAAUUAGGGGAUGAGCUGUGGGUAGGGGUGAAAGGCUAAACAAACUUGGAAAUAGCUGGUUCUCUCCGAAAACUAUUUAGGUAGUGCCUCAAGUAUCACCAUCGGGGGUAGAGCACUGUUAUGGCUAGGGGGUCAUUGCGACUUACCAAACCAUUGCAAACUCCGAAUACCGAUGAGUGCGAGCUUGGGAGACAGACGUCGGGUGCUAACGUCCGGCGUCAAGAGGGAAACAACCCAGACCGCCAGCUAAGGUCCCAAAGAUUGGCUAAGUGGAAAACGAAGUGGGAAGGCUAAAACAGUCAGGAUGUUGGCUUAGAAGCAGCCAUCAUUUAAAGAAAGCGUAAUAGCUCACUGAUCGAGUCGUCCUGCGCGGAAGAUGUAACGGGGCUAAGCCAGUCACCGAAGCUGCGGAUAU
rnacentral:rRNA from 1 species